rnacentral:misc_RNA from 1 species
UUUGGUUAACACACGUGUCAGAGAGAUUUUUGGUGUUUUUAUCUGUGUUUUUAAGUUUGUUUUGUAAAUUUUAUAGUGAAAAUAGUUGGUAUUUGGUUAUAAUAGUUUAUAUUAACAUUGACAAGGUUGGGUGAAGAGAUAUUUUAUGUCAUACUAACUACUACUAUUUUCAAUAUACUUUUAAAAUAAACUAACGAAGGUUGUAACAUCGACCGCACCGAUCAAUCUCCUUCGUGUAUUCUCCAUUCUACGUGACAUUGGCGAAAUCAUCUGUGCUCAUUUGGCACUAUUGAAAGC